CUUUUUUCUUGGCCUCAAACAAUAGGACAGAGCCUGUCAGGUGUGGGUUGAACUCUGCUCCUCCCUAGGAAGGAAGUCUCAAGCUUGGCCUAGGCUUUGAGAAUUCUGGGGGGCAGAGCGUGAGGUCCGAAAGGGGCUGUUGUGGCAGGCAGGGCGGCCACAACAGCCCUUUUGCUCUGUUGUGUGGGUGCAGCCGGGAGUCAGCCGGAACGUUGAGCCUGGCAGGGAGAGUGGACCCGCGCAGAGCUCAGUCUAGAUGGCUGGGAGGCUUGUGGGGAGAAGACGGUUGAGUCCUGACAGGGCCAGACCCCAGGGCAGGUUUGGACUGCCAUUUUGGGCCAAGGUGAGCGGAAGGUGGCUUUGGGGGCGGGCAAGUGGGCAAGACUGGGCGAGAGGCCUCACCCUCACACUGGAGCAAACCAGGGCAUUGCCUCCAAAUUCUCACACCUCUUUGGAUUGGUUUGCUUUUAAAACUUGAUUUUACUUGUUUCUCUUUCUAAAAAUACCACUUGCUCAUUAUGUUAAAAAAUACAGAGGAAGCCUAAAGAAAGAAAAAAUCAUCCUUGACCUUACCACACUGCAGGUCCUUUUUCUGUCCUGUUGGAGGAUGAUGUGGAUCCUGCCAGGUGCUCUGGAAGGGGCCAUGCAGGCCUCCCUGUCUGCCUGAGCAGUGAGGGGUGCAUCUUAGCAUAGUUUGCCAGCAUCCCAUUUGCACCCACUCCCGCUCUCCUCUGACCCUCCAAGGACCCUCUCCGGGAGGUAGGCGUGCUAGGGUCGCUAUUUGUAAAUUUGAGGCGGCAGUGGCAUCAUACUUGAGUUCUGUAACUACAUGAGGGCACGAUUAGGGCUCAGUGCUGAUCCUGGCUCCCACUCUGGUGCUCUGUCACUGAGGAGCCUCCUUUGGGGGCCAUUCUUCUGUGAGUUUUGCUUAACUACAUGGGGGUGGCUGUAUGCCAUGCUGAAGGCUUUUCCCCCACCCUUCUAUUAAAUCUGGGUCCUCUGCAGCCCUGGGGACAGCUGCCCACAACAGGGCUGCUACCUUCUGGGGCUGGCUUUCUGCUUGCUUUAUGGGCUCAGAGUGAAUCUUCUGGAGAUGAGAUGCACACUCAUAGCAUUCAGAGCUCAUUCCCUCAUGCAUUCAACAAAUUGAAUAUUCUUUAUGUGCCAGGCACUGGGCUAGGUACUGAGGUUCAGUGUGAACAAGUCAGGCAGGGGCCCUGCCUUCAGGCAUCUGCUUGUGGGUGUGGACACUAAACAAUGGCCGAGGUAGGUAACUGCAGAUCUGGGUAUGUGAUAGGAAGGGAGAGUGCAGGACUUGAUCAGUAUAAAAAAGAGGUCUAAUUUAGAUGCCAGGGGAAAGAGAGAGCUUCUUUGAGGAUGUGACAGAUAACCUGAGGACUGAACAUAUGAGUUGCAUUGACUGGAGGAAGAACAUGCUAGAAAGAACAGCAUUUGCAAAGACCCUGAGCCAGGAAGAAACUUGAUGCUUUUGUGGAAGUGAGAGGGGGCCUGUACUGCUGGAGUUCUCUGUGUUUGGAAGAGCGGGUGGUAUGAGGUGGGCAGGGGCAGCCAGGAACUCGAGGGCUGUGGGAACGCUAUGGUCACCAUCCUCAGAGUCCUAGAACGGUUUAAGCGGGGAAAGAAUAUGGUCUUUUUUUUUUUUUUUNNNNNNNNNNNNNNNNNNNNNNNNNNNNNNNNNNNNNNNNNNNNNNNNNNNNNNNNNNNNNNNNNNNNNNNUCUCAGCUCACUGCAACCUCCGCCUCCUGGGUUCAAGCGAUUCUCAUGCUUCAGCCUCCUGAGUAGCUGGGAUUA
rnacentral:lncRNA from 1 species